rnacentral:rRNA from 1 species
AUGCAGUCGAACGAUGAAGCUUCUAGCUUGCUAGAAGUGGAUUAGUGGCGCACGGGUGAGUAAGGUAUAGUUAAUCUGCCCUACACAAGAGGACAACAGUUGGAAACGACUGCUAAUACUCUAUACUCCUGCUUAACACAAGUUGAGUAGGGAAAGUUUUUCGGUGUAGGAUGAGACUAUAUAGUAUCAGCUAGUUGGUAAGGUAAUGGCUUACCAAGGCUAUGACGCUUAACUGGUCUGAGAGGAUGAUCAGUCACACUGGAAACUGAGACACGGUCCCAGACUCCCUACGGGGAGGCAGCAGUAGGGGAAUAUUGGCGCCAUGGGGGGAAAACCCUGGACGCAGCCAACGCCCGCGGUGGGAGGGAUGGACACUUUUUCGGGAGCGUAAAACUCCCUUUUCUUUAGGGGAAGAUUUCUGACGGGUACCCUAAGGGAAUAAAGCACCCGGGCUAAACUCCGGUGCCAGCAGCCGGCGGGUAAAUACGGGAGGGGUGGCAAAGCGUUUACUCGGAAAUCACUGGGGCGUUAAGGGGCGGCGUAGGGCGGGAUUAAUCAAGUCUCUUUGUGAAAUCUAAUGGGCUUUAACCCAUUUAAAA